ensembl:lncRNA novel transcript
GUAAAAGGUAAUGAUGAGUCUGACCUAAAGGGACAGCCAGGGGAAUUUAAAGAGCAUAGUUGAGAGAUGAUGUGCAUGCAGAAUCUAUAGAAUUUGCUAACUGAUUGAUUAAUUGUGGGUAGGAAGAGAGAAAUCAAAGAAAGUGGAGGUUUUGAGUUUCUAGAUAAUUGCAAGAGAGAAAAGAGACAAUUACAAAGGAAAGGAGAAGGAGCUACUUCUUGAGAGAAGAUCAGUUUAGAUUUAGACAUUUUAAGAAUUCAAAGGGUUGUCAAGACAGCCAGACGGACAUGGACACUAAUAAGUUAGAAAUAAAGGUUUUGUAAUAUGGGAAAGAGGACUGAGCUAGAAAAUAGACUCAUAGAUAAUCAGCCUAGGAGUGAUAUUGCUGUGAGAUAAAAGAAGAAAACAAAGUCAGAAUCUUGGAAAACACCCUCUUCAGAGUCUCGCUGCUCAAAACGUGGUCAGUGGCCCAGCAGCACUGACAUGAGGACCUUAGUUGGAAACUCAGAAUCUCAGGCUCCACCCCAGACCUGCUGAACCAGCAUCUUCAACUUAACAAGAACCCGAAGAGAUUUGUGCCACAUCAAAAAGUUUGAGAAGCUCUGAUCUAGGUGAGCCAAGCCAGCAAAGAAAGGGGGUGGAGCAGAAAAUGGGAGGAGAAUAGGGUAAUGCAGAAUCAUCAAGACAAGGUAAAUUGGACUUUCACAAAAACGGGGCUGGAAGGAGUGUUGCUCAACAAUAUCCAAAACCACAGAGGUUGAAAAGCACAAGGAAAGAAGCUGGACCCUGGACACGGUGACUCUGAUUCAAUUAUGCAGAUGACCACAAGCCUCUGGGGUUGGCAGAGCCACAAGAAAGAAGGUGCCUGGAUGAAGGAGAGCUACCCACUGACCUGGACACCCAAUUAUAGGAUAGACAGUGAAGUGCAACUACAGCCCGCAAAUGAAAAUGAAUAAAAUUAAUCCAGCCCCUCAAGGCAGUCAUCUGUCUUAGAGCUAUUGGAAUCCUGGAUCAUUGUGGGAAAUGAAAAGAACUGGUUUUUAGCAAGGAGACCAAGAAACUCUACUCCCUAGGGGCUAGCAAUGAGAGAAAGGAAGCCUUGAGUCUUUGAGCACAGGGUGACAGUUUGGGUCCUAUGUGAGAUGAUCAAAUCCACAGCAACAGAGGAAAGGACAAAAGGAAAAGAUACUUCGAUGGAAUCAGCAGCCAUUGAUCCAAUGCCAACUCCAAGACUGGAACGUCGCAAUGAUAGUUCCAAGGCGGAAAUUUGACGUAAUUCUUUUCGACACAGUUUUACAGGUGUGACACCAUGAAGUCGUCCCACAUUUCCCACAACCUGAAUUUGGGAUGACAGUCGACUGAGAUUUUGUAAACUGAUUAUCAUCUGUUUCUGUUUUAUUCUCAUUACCUAACAUAUGCCCACUGGGGGGUGCUAAAGAACUAUGAAUUGGAGGUAAUUCUGGGAUAUCUUCCCAGAGCUUUUGAGGAUUUGGCUGUGUUCUUAAGCUGCUUGCUGAACUGUCCAUUUCUCUUUCUCUUCCACUUAAUUUCAUACUUUCAGGUCUGGAUGCCCAUUUUAAUUCUUCUGAAAGCAUGCCUCCUUCUGGCUUCAGGACUCCAUCUCCAGCCUUAUGAUCUAAAAAUAAUCCCCAAACCAAAAAAUUAGAUAUUAUUUCCUCAAAAUUAGGUGUUUUAAUCAAAACAUCUUAACAUAAAUACAUUAUUAUCACCC